UCCAAAUGCAUCUGGAGUUAACGACAGACGAAAGCCCACUUCAUAGAUCUUGCUGGGACUUAUUCCAUUGACGGAACCAGUAACUUCUAGCCAACUCACUUGAUGCAAUUCAGCCAAAUUCCUGCAGUAAAGAUUUUUUGAGAAAGACAUGUGUCUGACUGUAUGUAUGUAUACCUUGAUGAAUUCUGCGGAAGGAUUUCCUACAUGGUGUGGACUUGCCAUUUUCAAUUUCAGACAAUGACUAAUAAAGAAGACAAGUAGAAAGAACGAGUUAGUUUGAGGAUUGGUCAGUUCUUGCUGUCUAUAUAUAAGGGGAAGACUGCGUACAUAGGUUGCCAGGGGAGAGGUACAUAACAAGCAGAGAAUAAUUCAUAUAUUUAUUUAUUUAUUGGGUUUCAGGAAAAACAUAAUGCAACAGAUUUUCGAAUAUGGAGGAGGAUUGGCGGCUCUGUCGAUUUUACAUAUGCAUUUGGGCUGAACUGGCAAUCAAAAAUGGCGUCCGCAGAUCUAAAGUAGUUGAUAUUCCUCGUUUCCUUGGUAAUUAACAACUUCAUAUUCCCACACGUUACAAGUUGUUGCUUGGCAGCCAUAUAAAUGCCAUUGUUUCUGCACUCUGAAUUGUUUUAAUUGAUUCCCAAACAAACCCACAUAAAACACAUUGUAUUGAACUACAAUAUUGUGUUCAAAUUGUAUAGGUUGGAAAUUAUUAAUAAUAUUCGGGGUAUCAUUUCAGGGUCUGUAGCAGUAGAGCAUCGCUCAUGACGCCUUCCACUCCCCCAAUCAGUUUUACUCUCAUCAAAAGGGGUUAACAAGUGGCCAUGACAACCUGACGAAUUUAUACUCGUUAUUCUACAUCAUGUUCUUUUUGUUUUUUCAUGGAUGAUUUCUGUGCAAAGAACACAUGUACUAUAAUACGAAUGCCAAAGUACAACAGGAUUUUAUUCCAAAAACGAGAGCUACGGUGCAGGUUCAUCAUACAUAAUGUCAUUUCACAUAUGUAAUAGUAACUUAUUCAAGUGGAUCAACUUUUUCAGUUUAUUCCUUAAUCCUUCUUAACUUUAAAGAAAAGAAAUAUGCUAUAGAAGUCUUGUUGAUCUAACAUUACUGCACAUUCAUAGCCCGUAUACGCAUCAUGUUUAGUCAAUACAUAACUCAGUGAGUAUUUUACAUAACCUGGACUUUUAUUCCAUGGGGGACGGACAUAACUCAGCAUAUGUAUAAACUAAUUUUUUUCCUCCAGGUAGCCUACUUGUAUUAUUUGCUGGAAGCUAGAGCAUGCAGAAUAACACUAGCUCAAUUCAAACCAAGAAAAUGAAAGAAAACAUAUAUACAUAAAUCAUUUAAACUAUAUUUAACAGCAGGAAAUUAUAAAUGAACUACAGACAGUGUACAAUCAAAUUGUAAAGCUGAGAGACAACUUUGUAGAACAUAGAUAUAUCUUAAGCCUAAUCAAGUUGUCUGUCAACAUUGUCGAUCUAGCUGUGAAAUGUUUCCGCAAAUUACAACAGGUCCUAAUCGAUGCAUGUAAAUUCCAGAUCUUCAUCGGUGACUGGUUUAUGGA